CCAAUAGCGUAUAUUAAAGUUGUUGCAGUUAAAAAGCUCGUAGUUGAAUUUCGGGAUCAAAUUGUCGGUCGUGCCUCGGUACGUACUGGCGUUAUUGGUUCCUACCUUCUGAGGAACCACGAUGUCAUUAAUUUGGUGUCGCGGGGAAUCAGGACUGUUACUUUGAAAAAAUUAGAGUGUUUAAAGCAGGCUCGCGCUUGAAUACAUUAGCAUGGAAUAAUGAAAUAAGACGUUUGAUUCUAUUUUGUUGGUUUCUAGGAUCGACGUAAUGAUUAAUAGGGAUAGUUGGGGGCAUUAGUAUUCAAUUGUCAGAGGUGAAAUUCUUGGAUUUAUUGAAGACUAACUACUGCGAAAGCAUUUGCCAAGGAUGUUUUCAUUAAUCAAGAACGAAAGUUAGGGGAUCGAAGACGAUCAGAUACCGUCGUAGUCUUAACCAUAAACUAUGCCGACUAGGGAUCGGAUGAUGUUAAUUUUUUAAUGACUCAUUCGGCGCCUUACG
rnacentral:rRNA from 1 species